GACGAACGCUGGCGGCGUGCCUAAUACAUGCAAGUAGAACGCUGAAGAGAGGAGCUUGCUCUUCUUGGAUGAGUUGCGAACGGGUGAGUAACGCGUAGGUAACCUGCCUUGUAGCGGGGGAUAACUAUUGGAAACGAUAGCUAAUACCGCAUAACAAUGGAUGACACAUGUCAUUUAUUUGAAAGGGGCAAUUGCUCCACUACAAGAUGGACCUGCGUUGUAUUAGCUAGUAGGUGAGGUAAUGGCUCACCUAGGCGACGAUACAUAGCCGACCUGAGAGGGUGAUCGGCCACACUGGGACUGAGACACGGCCCAGACUCCUACGGGAGGCAGCAGUAGGGAAUCUCCGGCAAUGGGGGCAACCCUGACCGAGCAACGCCGCGUGAGUGAAGAAGAUUUUCGGAUCGUAAAGCUCUGUUGUAAGUCAAGAACGGGUGUGAGAGUGGAAAGUUCACACUGUGACGGUAGCUUACCAGAAAGGGACGGCUAACUACGUG
rnacentral:rRNA from 1 species